UACGUAGGGUGCAAGCGUUGUCCGGAAUUAUUGGGCGUAAAGAGCUCGUAGGCGGUUCGUCGCGUCGGCUGUGAAAUCCCGAGGCUCAACCUCGGGUCUGCAGUCGAUACGGGCGGACUGGAGUUCGGCAGGGGAGACUGGAAUUCCUGGUGUAGCGGUGAAAUGCGCAGAUAUCAGGAGGAACACCGGUGGCGAAGGCGGCAUCCUGGACCGACACUGACGCUGAGGAGCGAAAGCCAGGGGAGCAAACGGG
rnacentral:rRNA from 1 species